UACGUAUGGGGCAAGCGUUAUCCGGAUUUACUGGGUGUAAAGGGAGCGCAGGCGGCGCGGCAAGUCAGAUGUGAAAGCCCGGGGCUCAACCCCGGGACUGCAUUUGAAACUGCCGUGCUGGAGUGUCGGAGAGGCAAGUGGAAUUCCUAGUGUAGCGGUGAAAUGCGUAGAUAUUAGGAGGAACACCAGUGGCGAAGGCGGCUUGCUGGACGAUAACUGACGCUGAGGCUCGAAAGCGUGGGGAGCAAACAGG
rnacentral:rRNA from 1 species